GAUGAACGCUAGCGGCAGGCUUAACACAUGCAAGUCGAGGGGUAUGCCGAUUUAUCGGCAGAGACCGGCGCACGGGUGCGUAACGCGUAUGCAAUCUACCUUAUACAGAGGGAUAGCCCAGAGAAAUUUGGAUUAAUACCUCAUAGUAUUUUCGGAUCGCAUGAUUUGAUUAUUAAAGUUCCAACGGUAAAAGAAUGAGUAUGCGUCCCAUUAGCUAGAUGGUAAGGUAACGGCUUACCAUGGCAAUGAUGGGUAGGGGUCCGUGAGAGGGAGAUCCCCCACCACUGGUACUGAGACACGGACCAGACUCCUACGGGAGGGCAGCAGUGAGGAAUAUUGGUCAAUAGGGCGCAAGACCUGAACCCAAGCCAUGCCGCGUGCAGGAAGAC
rnacentral:rRNA from 1 species